CCCUUAGAUGUCCUGCGCCGCACGCGCGUUACACUGAUGCAUUCAACGAGCUUAUAACCUUGGCCGAGAGGCCUGGGCAAUCUUGUUAACGUGCAUCGUGAUAGGGAUAGAUUAUUGAAAUUAUUAAUCUUGAACGAGGAAUUCCUAGUAAACGCAGAUCAUCAAUCUGCAUUGAUUACGUCCCUGCCCUUUGUACACACCGCCCGUCGCACCUACCGAUUGGAUGGUCCGGUGAAGCCUCGGGAUUGUGGUUCUUGCCGCUUUAUUGUGGCGUGACCGCGAGAACUUGUCUAAACCUUAUCAUCUAGAGGAAGGUGAANUCGUANCA
rnacentral:rRNA from 1 species